CCGACCUUAGCUCAGUUGGUAGAGCGGAGGACUGUAGUGUUGCAGAAGAAUCCUUAGGUCGCUGGUUCGAAUCCGGCAGGUCGGA
rnacentral:tRNA from 2 species